rnacentral:misc_RNA from 1 species
GCAAACUUGGUCAUUUAGAGGAAGUAAAAGUCGUAACAAGGUCUCCGUUGGUGAACCAGCGGAGGGAUCAUUACCGAGUUUUCAACUCCCUUACCCUGUGUGAACGCUACCCGACGUUGCUUCGGCGGCGCGCGCCCCGGCCCCCGCGCCGGAUCCAGGCCCCCGCCGGAGGACCAUCCAAAACUCUUUGUCUCUGCGAGUCUCUGAGGCGGCCUCGUGCCGACCAAAACAAAAAUGAAUCAAAACUUUCAACAACGGAUCUCUUGGUUCUGGCAUCGAUGAAGAACGCAGC